AAGAAAAAAAAAAGGGAAUCUUUGCGGAGUUUAGCUCAAGCGUUUUUGACACGAACAAGAUGGUUGGCAAGAAGACUUUGGUAGGAAUAAGUCCUCUUACUAUUCCCACAGACUUUCUUCCUUUCUAUUUUUUCUUUCUUCACCAUUCAUCCCUUCUCUCUUUUCCUUUUCUUUCUUUACCGAUUUUUUUUUCUUUCUUUCUCUCACUUCUCAUUCCUAUUUCUCUCUCUCUCUCCAUCUCUGUGGGCUUGGUGGAUUUUGACUGUGGUGGUGAUUGAUUUUUGGUGUGGGUUUCUUGGAUUUGGUGGUGGUGGUUUGGGUGUGGAUUUUGCCGUAGGUUUGAUGGUGGUGAUUGAUUUUGGGUGUGGGAUCUUGGAAUUUGGCUAUGGUGGUGGUGUGAUGGUUUAAGUUUCAAGUAAAAUAGUUGGGGUGGUGUGGUAAUAGUUUGAGUUUUGGGUGGCUGCUUCGUGUGGUGGUGGCAGAUCUGGGUUUGGUAUGGUGGUGGCAGUUUUGGGUGGCUUGCUUUGUAUCUGAGAAGAGAGACAGACGAAGAGGAAGAGAGAGGAAGAUAGACGAAGAGGAAGAGAGAAGAAGAGUUGUAGCUAAAAAAAAAUAGAACUUGAGUGUUUUAUAAAAUGGGAAGUUAAAAUAGAUAAAAGAGGCUUUUUGUAAUGUCAAAAAGUUAAAAAUUUGCCUGCUCUAGGAGUAUCUGUCUAUCCAACUCUUCUCCCCAGAAAAUCCCCGAAUUUGUCCUUGCAAAGGAUGGGGUUGUUAUUGCAGAUGAGACUAGCAGCGUACGGCCCAGGCAAGCACAGACAAAGAAGAUUCAAAAACGGUGGCGGAGCUAGCUAGGGGGCUGAGGGGGCAUGGCCCCGUGGCUUUCUAAACUUCCUAUUUGAGGUUGGGAUAAAAUUACCAUUUAAAUAAAUAAGAAAUCUCCGCCCCCUCAAAUUCUAGAAUAUGAUAGCCAAAAUUUGGUCUCCAUCAUGCCGCCAGUAGCCAUUUGCCUAGAGCAACAGCAGCUCCCAACAACCGUCACUGGCUCUUCUCCGGCCCUCCAUGCUCGCCAGAAGCCAGUCGCCUCGGCCCUUGCUGUGACCCGCCACCGAUAAUGUUGGCAGUGAACUCUGAAAGGGCGGAGCAAGGAGGCUCUGCCUUAAGUUCAGGUUAGUCCGAUUGAUGAGGAGAAUGAAGAAAUGGAUCCGGUUAUGAAGAGUCCUGGUCGGUUGAGUGCAUGGAAAGUCCACUGAGUCGGGAAGAGAAAGCGGCCAGAAUUUUCGUAUUUGAUAAACUGUGAAGAAUGGAUUGGGAUGGGAGGAACGGGAGAAGAAGAAGAAGAAAAUGAUGAUGGUAUUGUUACAAAUGCGAUAAUAAUAAAAAUAAUGCCACGUCUUCAGUCCUUGACAAUUGAUGGCUGCCCCUUCCUAAAGUCUCUGCCAGACUACUUGCUUACUGCUCCAUUAUUGAAGGAAUUGGAGAUUUCUGGUUCACAGUUUCUCAAAGAACGUUUCCAAAGAGGGACCGGAGAGAAUUGGCACAAGAUUUCUCACAUCUCUAACAUCAAAUUGGAUUGGGUGUAUGUGCAAAGAGAUGGUGAACCCUAGUUUGAUUCAAAGGAAAUCAGGCGAGCCAAAAAAGAGGAAGUCAUACUUGCCACCAGAGAAGCAGUUCUUAAUUACUAGAAAUGGUAAAAACUAAAACUUUACUUUGAUUUUUACGUGUUUUUUAAAUAUGAUAAUGUGUGAUGUUUUUGGUAACAGCUACUAUAAUGGUUUGUUUUUUAAUCCCCGCUUUCUCUUCCUGAUCAUGGAUAUUGAAACUAUUAAACCCAGUAGAGCUGCUGCCACCAAACUAAUAAUUAAUGCAAGAUAUAUGGAUGGAACUUUGCUUGAUUUAUGAUGGUCAGAAUUGUUGCAGCUGUUAAUGUUUAGUGAUGGCUUAUUAGCACAGAGAGCAAGAUUAUUCAAGAAGCUGCUGGCAUAUGCAUCAUUUUCAAAUUGUGUUGGGAUCCUCCCAAUCAAAUGAUUGGAAGAGAGAUUGAGUAAAGUGAGCUUCAGGAGGCCAAGUUGGGGUGUUAUUUGGCCAGAAAGUUUGUUCUCUGACAAGUCCAACUCUGUAAGACCUGCCAAAUUACCUAAUUCCUCUGGAAUAGGUCCAGAGAUUUUAUUUCGGCGAAAAUUUAGAGUAUUUAACGUUUUCCACGAUAUAAUAUCUAAUGGAAGGACGCCUGAGAGUUGAUUUUGAUCAAGCAAAAGAGUUGUUAAAUAAGGAAGAGAUGUUAAUUACAAGCCUCAAAUACCAUCGUCCAGGAAGACACUCUAGCUGGGAUCCAACUAGAAAAUUGGUGAAUGUCAAGCAGGAUUGUCCGGGUGGAGUUAUUCUGUGAGAGGCCAAGGUCUUCGAACUUAGAACAAUUGUAGUGAGCUUUAAGAAACUUGGGAAAGAAUGAAGUUGUUUGACUGUCCAAUAGAUGGUGGAAUGUUACCAGAGAAGCUGUUGACUCCAAGGUUGAGGCUGCGCAGGCGAGACAAGCUGUGAAUUUCCACCGGGAUUGUGCCGUUGAAGUAAUUCUGUGACAGGUCAAGGUCUUCUAGCUUGGAACAGUUGUAGUAGAGAGCUAUAGGAAACUCUUGAGAGAUGAAGUUGUUUGAAAGGUCAAUGUCGUGAGGUUCUUGAGGUGUGAUGUACAGAAUUUGUAGCGUGUGAUAUAAAAAAUAUAAUUUCUUUCUAAUGCACUCACUACAAUGGCAUAUUGUAUCUUGUUUGUGGGUGCUUUUAAAGGGUGCUGUACAGUACGCU